GCCUCGGUAGCUCAGUGGUAGAGCUAAUGUAGUAUGUACAUCUAUGGUGAACAGAGUACCUAGAAUAACUCUCAAGAGGUCGUAGGUUCAAAUCCUGCUACCUCGGUCG